rnacentral:rRNA from 1 species
AGCGAACGCUGGCGGCAGGCUUAACACAUGCAAGUCGAGCGGGCAUCCUUGUGGUGUCAGCGGCAGACGGGUGAGUAACGCGUGGGAACGUGCCCUUUGGUUCGGAAUAACUCAGGGAAACUUGUGCUAAUACUGGAUACGUUCGAGAGUAGAAAGGUUUAUCUGAUGAAGGAUCGGCCCGCGUCUGAUUAGCUAGUUGGUGAGGUUACGCCUCUCCAAGGCUACGAUCAGUAGCUGAUCUGAGAGGAUGAUCAGCCACACUGGGACUGAGACACGGCCCAGACUCCUACGGGAGGCAGCAGUGGGGAAUAUUGGACGCUGGGGGCAACCCUGAUCCAGCCAUGCCGCGUGAGUGAUGACGGCCUUAGGGUUGUAAAGCUCUUUUCUCCGGGACGAUAAUGACGGUACCGGAGGAAUAAGCCCCGACUAACUUCGUG